UUAGCAACCAAGGGGAGCCUUUUGGCUGAGAUUUGAGAAAUACUCAUAACCCUUAUACCUGAUCCGGAUAAUGCCGGCGUAGGAAUGGUCAGAUAUUUUCCC
rnacentral:ncRNA from 2 species